rnacentral:lncRNA from 1 species
UCUGAGGCACUCUGCAGAUCACAUUAAAGGAUUUAACCGGAAAAAUAUAAUGUCCAGCAUCUCUUUGGAAAACUUAAGCAUAUAACAAACUUAAUUUCCCACUUAUUCGAUCGCCUCGUGCACUAAAUUAACAAAUUGCUGCAGGUUGCAGAAAUUCAAAACUUGAGGAAGCCCUUCUCCAUGAGGCUUUCAACAGUGUCCUUGAGACUCGUUUCCAGAGGAAGGAAAGUGAUUCCCAAACAUUUUGCUUUCUCCCUUGGACACUUGAAACUUGGAGCCAGAAGGAUUGCCAGGCUCACAAAGGCUCAGUGUGGGGUAAAGCUCUCGUAAAAUCUUUAGAGUAUCGGGACCAUCAGCAACUUGUGCAACUAAACAAUAUCUGCCACUAGCUGAAGGAACUUCAAAUGCUUGAAUAUGAGCAAAGGCAACAUCUCUAACAUCCACAAAUGCAUAGUUUAUAAAAGGUGUUUCGAUACCUGAGCACAAAAGAGAAACAAAACAGAAUAAACCCUGGAUGUAUCACAAGGAAUAGUGUUUUAACAUAAAGGGGGUGAAUUGUACCACUCAUUAAAUUCAGAAGAAACUCGACGGAGAGAUUAAGAGUUGGCUGUAAGAGUGGACCAAUCACAAUCCCUGGAUGUAUUGUUACCAAGUCAAUCCCAUUUCCUUUGGCAAAAUUUCCAGGCGGCCUCCUCAGCUAAAGUUUUUGAGAGAGGAUACCAUUGCUGAACAAAUAAAGAAGGAAGUUCUUAUGAGUUUGUAGUUCAUCAUGUACUGCUUUGUAUUGUGUUAAGCUUACAUCUGUCUAAAAUUAUUCAAUAGUAUGGGAACGCACGUACCUUGAUCGUCUCACAAAAAAGUGGAUCCGAGUACCAUGUUUCAUCCAUAACCACAUCAGAGGUCAGAGGUUUUCCACUCAACCUUACUGAAGCCAGAGAAGAUGUUAAAACCACUCUCUUGACGGCAGGGAAUUUUGCGCAUGAUUUUAGAACAUUAAGUGUUCCUUUCACUGCAGGCUCAAUUAUUUCUACCUGAAACAUAGAAACGAAAUAAUAUUAUUCUAGUUUCUACAUCAUUUCUCUUGAAGGUGUAUCGAUUUUCAAUGCAUUCGUGAGCGCACACACACGAUACACUUUUUGAUGGAUGCAUGAACUGAAGGGACAGACCUGUGGGUCAGUGGCUGAAAAUUGUGCAGGCGAUGCUGUAUGAAAAACACCUACACAUCCAUCAAUUACGCCGUCAAAUGAUCCUUCUUCUACUAGAUCGGCUUUGAACAAAUGAAGCCUCUCCUUUGCUCCAUCUAAUGAGAGCAAGUGUUCUGUUUUCUUUGCAUCAUCUGUAUGCAAAACCCAGAAUCUGAAAUUAUUGAAUGAAUUGUUUGAAGUUGAACAGUAUAUAUGAGCAAGUGUAGAAAUACUGACUUGGAUCGCGAACAGUGGCUUUGACGGUAUAACCCUUUUGCAGUAAGAGCUUCACCAGCCAUGAUGCUAUGUAACCAGAUGCUCCUGUUACACAUACAGUCUUUGAUUCUCCGGUACUCAUUUCUCUCUCUCUCUCUCUCUCUCUCUCUCUCUCUCUCUCUCUCUAGCUAAGAAUUAAUAAGCUUAAUUUGGUUCAGAAUUGUGUUUUUCAUGGUGAAAGGUCAGCUGGAAAUUAAAGGUCAAUGUUGCCAACUUGUCUUCUUCAGCUCUGAAUACUUUUGUAAUGGCAAGCCAUUGUUUAUUUUGAAUGUUGACUAAACAGGUGUUGGGCAGGAACUAAUCUUAAGUUAGGGGUAGCACUUGUUCCAAAUGGUUGCAAGAAAUAUUAGGAGUCCUUUAACUAAUAUUUCUUUAAAAGUAGUGAAGUGAAGCAACAACUUCUUAGUAGGAAUCUCGUUUUAUUCUAGCAAAAACAGGAUACGGACUAGGAACCAUGUAUAUAGGACUCUUAUUUAUUUCACCAUCUCCCUUUUUUUCUUCAAUAUCUUAUACGGUAAUACACGCCACUGGGACAUGAAAUGGCUAUGAGAGAGAAUCUCUCACUAAAACUUAUGUCAUGGCAAAUUAUAGUUUAUUAUGAAUGUUGACAAAACAAAAUAGAAAAAUAUUAUGAAGGAAGAAGAAAUAUUAGUAUUGGCAGGAUAUUUCAAAUUCAAACACUUUGCAAACAUUUCAACACCUAAUCAGAAAUGAUUCAACAAACCAGUUUUUUCAUGCCUUUCUAAGAUUAUUUAUUUAUUUAUUUGGAAAAUUGUCCAUAUAUAUAUAUAUAUAUAUAUAUAUAUAUAUUUUGGUCAAGAAUAAAACUUACAAUUAAUUCUAGAAAGGCCUAAACCUAAACAAAACACAAUACCCUACACAACAAAGCAAUACAUAAAAUAGAAGACAAGCUCAAAAAGGAGAGCUACAACCCCAAUUACAGAGCGAGGCCCAUACAAAUUUAGGCCCGUUGACAACAACAACAAAAAAAAAAAACAAUAAAAAUCCUAAUCUCCAGCCGCCAAAAGUCAGUCACCACCGCCGUUAUCUCCACGAAACAUGUUACACUCCUGUAUUCUGUUAAAUCACAAGAACAUUACUACAAACAGAUGUCAAUCAUGUUCUAGGACAGUAAGGGGAAGCAACAAAUUAACUAGAGUGCACAUCGAUUUGACAACAUAAAACCCCAACACGUGAGGAAACGUCCUUGGACACUCCUUAAUUAGGGGUGCUUUAACAAAGAUUCUUUUAAAGUUGUGAAUUUGGACACUGAGAUCUAGUCACCUAUGUGGCUGUCUGCCGAUCAAUCUAAGAAACUAAGAAAGUCUUGACAGGAAAGACAUUGUUAUUUUUUGGGAGAGCAAUGAAUCAAAGUGACGCAUAACUGAAUCUCAAUGGAUCGAGCAUGGCAGCUAGGCCAAAUUAUUUUCAUUGGAAACAGGAAACAGAUGACUUUCAUCAUGUCUUUGGAGUACUCAAGCAGAAAUCAAACUUCCGUUGCCGAAGAUACUUGAACUGUUGUCCGAGUUGGAUAAAUCAAAUCUGCAGGAAGCCCUUCUCCUUCAUGCUUUCAACAGUGUCCCUCAGAGGUGAUUUCCAAUGGGUGGAAGCUAAGUCCCAAACCUGUUGCUUUCUCUGAGGAUACGUGAUAUCUUGGGUCUGAAGUAUUGCCAAUCUCAAAUCUGCCAACAAUUACCAAAAACAAUAGAAUAAUAAAUCCCUUAGAAAUAAUUCUUGUAAUAGAAAUGUCGAGCUUUCGGUGUACACAAUUGAGUUAUUUUGUACAAGCAUCUUUAAUUAUUGGAAGAAAUUCCUAACUGGUACAGAUUUCGUUUCCAAGUCCAAAUCUUAUGUUUAUUUCACUCUCUGAAAGAACUUACCUUCAAACAGAUUUGACCGUGUUUAAUUCUACAGAACGAUAUGACAUUAUGUGUGGUAAAGUAAACGGGCACAAAUUUGAGGCAUUUUGCAUAUGAAACUUACUUUUCAAGAAGCAAAGUGGGGGUAAAGUUCGUGUAAAAUCUUCAGAACCUCGAAAAUGUCUGCAACAUGUCCAACUAAACAAUAUCUUCAACUUGCUGAAGGAACUUCAAAGGCCUGAAUGUCAGCAGAGGCAACAUCUAUAACAUUAAUGAAUCUGCAGUUUGAAACAGUCGAUUGGGUACCUGCACAAUAGUGAAACAUAAGCCAAUCAACUGCUUCAAUAAAAAAAUUAGUGGAAAAUAAAAAUGGAAGCUGUAAGAGUGGACCAGUCACGAACCUCGGAUGUAUUGUAGCUAAAUCAAUCUCAUUUCCUUUAGCAAAUUCCCUGGCAGCUUUUUCUGCAGAACAAAAAGAAAAGGGGCAGAUAAUACUAAGCAUUAUCCAUCUCUUUUAUAAUUGCACCCAGACACCUUGUUUGGUGAUUAGAUUAGAUUAGAUUUUGUUUCAGCGCGACACAGAAAUAUAACAAAUUAACAAUGAAAAAAGAUAAUAAGAAUCGGAAAUUCAUACAUACCUUGUACUUCUCGCAAACAAGUGGAUCUGAAUACCAUGUUUCAUCCAAAACUACAUCAGAGGUCAGAGGUUUUCCGCUCAUCAUUACUGUACCCCUCUCUUGACAGUUGGAAAUUUCACACAUGGUUUUAGAACAUCAAGCGUUCCAUUCACGGCUGUGUUAACUAGUUCUGCCUGACAUAUGGACAGAAAUAUCAUGCUGGUUUCCACAUCAUUUGUCUUGAAAUUAUUCAUUCUACACGUGCACGCAGGAACAUAUGAUAGAGUAUUUGAAGCAUAAAGUGAACGGACAAACCUGUGGGUCAGUAGCCGAGAAUAGUACAGGUGAUGCUGUGUGAAAAACGGCUUCACAUCCAUCAACUGCAGCAUCGAAAGAUCCUUCUUCCAAUAAAUCUGCUUUGAACAAAUGCAGCCUGUCUUUUGCUCCAUCUAGUGAGAGCAAGUGUUCUGUUUUCUUUGGAUCAUCUGUAGCAUACAUGAACAGAACUAUGAGUUGAACCAAGAAUAGUACAACCACAUUAGAUAGGGACGUAUGUGUACAAGGCAAAGUAGCAAACAUUGACUAUAGUCAUUGCCAAUUGGCAAUUGAGCUAGGCCUACCAUAGUAUCCAUAACGAAAAAAAAAGAAGGCAAAUACUUGGUUCCUCCAAUUGCAAAUAGCAUCCUAUCCAAUCACAAUUUUCAUGUGUGCAGAAAUUGUUCUUUUUUUGUUUGUAACGAGUUAUUUCUGCAUACUUGUCAAACUCUGAUUUACGGGACAGAGAGACGACUUUCCAGGAAAGAGCCAAGAAGUGUCCAAAACAGAGUACAGAUUUGAUACGAAUUGUUUCAACUCUAUCAUUUAUGCAUAAAGUUUUGGCUAAUAAGCUUGAUCACUAACAGCUAGCAAGAAUGUCAAACCAGUUCAAGGCCUGGCAUUAACUGGACUUCAAGAAAUACACUAGAACUACAGAUGAAGACCUACACCGAAAAUUUUAGGAUUUUCUCUUGCUGGACGAAACGAUAUACAAAACACAGAACUAUCAAUCCAACAUCAAAUGAUCAUUAAUUCUUUGCUUCUUUACAAAUGACAAAUUCCAAAUGAUGUAAUCAGAGUCUAAACACUUUAUAGCACAUCUCAUACAUGAAAGUUAAUGCUCUAAAAUUCAACUCUCUCUCCUAAACCAUGAAAAGAGCAUCCAAAAAGUUCACCAAUUUUUUCAAAAAGCAAACUCUCUGCAAAUGCAAUUUCCUGAAAAAAAAUCCUGCUGAUCACUUUCAUUAGGGUCCAACUUUAGCUUGAUCACCUCCAUAUUCUUCCUUGCCCAACAAGUCACCCAAACCCCUAUUUCUUUUCUUGAACCUCUCCUCAACGCUCUCCAAACGCCGAAGCACAGUCUCCACCAGAAAAUCCUUGCCCCUGCAGUUAUCGAAAAACAAGUGCUUCAGCAGUGUCUCUGACGCCGGCCUCUUCGCUGGGUCUUGAUCAAGGCAAGAACCCACCAAGUCCUUGAAAGCCACAGAGUACUCCUUGUUCUUGAAAUCUUUGAUGAUGUUUUCGUAGUCAGAAAACUGGUACCUGUUCUUGACCUUUAGAAUCUGAGAUUCCAAUAACGGUGGCAGGCCAGACAGGGGAGGACAGCCGCGAGCCAAUUCCAGUGCCAUGAUCCCAAAUGCCCAGAUAUCCACCUUGCAUCCAUCUCCGUAGGGCGCCACCCUAUCUGGCAUUGCCGAAGUGUCGUUUGUCCCAGUUGGCGUUGCCGAAGUGUCGUUUGUCCCAGUUGAAUGAUCGGCGCCGUAGAAAGAAGCAGAGACCCCGAAAUCGGCGAGCUUAACGGACCCAUCAGAGUCAACCAAGAUGUUUCCGGGCUUGAUGUCGCCGUGGGUGUGUCCCUGGCCAUGGAGAUACGACAUGGCGUUUAGCGUCUCUUUCAGGAAGACAGCAAUGCAGGGCUCUGGUAAUCCUUGAGGGAAAGCAGGGGAGGAGAUUAUUAUGGACUGCAGAGAGCCGAAGGCCAUGAAUGGCAUGACCACCCAGAGACGGCGCUCGGCGGUGGUGAAGGAGCAAUGGUUGCUGAGAAUGUUGGGGUGGGAAAGAGACAGAGUCUUGGUGUCGCGGAGCUUGCUCUCGAAAUCGGCCGUGGAUUGGUCGAGGUCGACGGACUUUAUUGCGACGACUGCAGAGUUCAUGGGGAUGCAGACGGCCUUGUAGACGACAGCCUUGUCGCCAGAGCCAAUUUCUUGGAGGUUUUCAUACGCGGCCGAGUCCAACGGGAAUUGGACCUUUUGUGGGUUAUCUUGGCGGGUGGAAGAAGACGAAGAAGUCGCCAUUGGAUACGACAAAGAUGAAAUCUUGAAGAAUGGAAGUGGGUUGUUUUGAUUUCUGGGAAAUGGCUUUUGAUGGAGAAGAUGAAUGUAGGGAUUCUGCAGUACUAAUUCUAGUGAAAGGUUGAUGCUUUGGGAGGAAGACGACGAUGUAUGAGAAUGUGUGUGACUGUGUACUGCUCUGCUUGUACUUGCUUAUAUAAUAAGAAAUGGUAAGAAGAUGAGGGUAUUUUGGGGAUUUUCCAUUCCAAUUGGGGGUUGAAAUUAUAGAUAAGUUUUACUUCUUACCCCUAGAUUUUUUUAAUUAGCAAAAUCAACAACAUUCUGUUGUGAGGCGGUUUUGGUGAUUAGGAUUGGGUGAGGUUGGUUAAGAUAAAAUACAAUUGGUUCGUUUUCUGUUAUUUUCCAUCUCAGCAAUGUCUUGGGAGGCAAGGCAUUGUUAGUCCUGUUGUGAGUACCUCGUAUAAAUAUUUCGAAAGGAAUAUAAGCAUACAAACAAAAUACGUAUUUGAGACCCAAUUCCAAGAACAAAACUGACCUACUAACCUAUUGAAAUCAUUCUUCAAGACUAGAGAGACCAAAGUUUUAAACAAAUUUUGUAAACAAUACGACGUGAUUGUUGAUAACUGAAGUAAAUAAACCUAAAUACAAGAACUUAGACCAAAGACGACAUUUUAUUUCACAUGCUCACUUAUGAGCAGAAUGGCAUGAGAGAAUAUCCAAGUAGAUAUGUCAUGAAUUGUCGACGAUUUUGCUGACUAGCCGAACAACGAGGAGUUCCAUGAUCAGAAGAAGUUCUUCUCCUUCAAACCUUCAGCGGUGUCCUUCAAAGACACCUCCCGAGGAGUAAACUCAACAUCGAAAGUCUGAGCUCUUUCCUUGGAUAUCUGGUAAGUUGGCGUGAAAGGUCGAUCAUCUUUACAUCUACCCAAAAUAGAGUCACAUCAAUGUCAUGGAUCCCUUUAGCAAAACUACGUCUCUAGAUGACUUGACCAAAUCAACUCAAAAGAAACAGCAACCGAACAGUACCUUAGUGCAUAAGCAAACCUGUACUAUCCUUAGAAGCAGUUCAAUGUAGGACUAAGACGCAACAAUUUGGUUAUGUUUAGCAACUUACUUUUCGGGAAGUUUGAGAGCAGGGAAGAGAUCACGGAAAGUUUUGACAGCCACAGAACAGUGUGCUACGCUUCCAACUAUAGAAUACCUCCCACUAGCUGAAGGAUUCUCAAAGGCUAGAAUAUGCCAUUAGCAACAUCUCUAACAUCAACCCAUCUAUGAGUUACAUUUGGAUACUUUUUCGGUUCUUGCAUAAAUUGUACAUCCGGAACAAUUAAUAUUUUCAUAGAUUGUAAGUUAUCACAGACACAGAGGUAAUGAAGACAGCACAUGUGAUAUUACUACUACUGCCUACUGGUAGCAAGAGUUGCGUACUCAUGAUAACAGAAGGGAAGGGAAAAGAAAUUGUAAUUGAAUUUGAAUAUAGAAGAAACCGCAAAUAAUACUCGAGAAAGUCCCAAACAAUUAUAAAAGAUGUGCAUGAAACCAGUAAAAUGAACUUUGGAUGCAUGAGUUGUAUUGGUAUAGAAGUGAGAUAUGUUAGUUACUAAUAGCUUUCGAGGCAAGGAUUUAAAUGUAAGUCCUCUCUUCUGUACAAAAUGAAAAAGUUCUGGUGGAGAAACAUCGACUUGGCGACAGCUAAAAGAGAUGAAGGAAGUAUUAGCAUCUCAGAUUCUUACACUUACCAAAGACGUAUGGAUCUGGACACAACCAUUCCUGGAUUUACUGCAACCAAAUUGAUUCCAUUCUCCUCUGCAAACUUCCAAGCAGCUUCCUCAGCUGAGGUUUUUGAAAGCGGAUACCAAAGCUGAUAAAAACAAAGUCUCAAUGAGCACAAUGAACAUAUUUUUAUAUCAUGAAAGAAAUAAGAUUUAAACCUUCUCCGGUGAUGUUUUUAUUACAAGAGGAAUGCUAUGCAAUGCAACCAGACCAAGAUGAAUAAACAUACGAGCACCGAUUGUUCCAGUAUAUUUAGUAAGAAACUACGUCUUUCAGUUCAGAUUCACUACCUGGCAAGGCAUUUUUAAAGAGUUGUAAUAGCCUAAAAGUUACUCAGAACUAAACUCACUAAGAAAACCGAGGCGUAUUAGAUAAAGCAAAACAAGAAGUGACUUCUGCAAUGUAUGCAGUAAACAAUCAAACCAUUAAGAACAGAGAAAGAAAACAUAGUAAGAUGGUAAAGCAGAAAUUACAUAUUAUUGUAUGAACCUGGAUGCAUAUAAAUAUAUAAGGCCAAGUUCCAUCUGAUUUUCCAUUACAUAAACUAGAUCUUCAAGUGAAGCAUUCCUGAAUAAUGAAAGAGAAUUAGCGUAUUGUGUACAAACCUUUGAUUUUUCACAGAAAGCUGGAUCUGAAAACCAAGAUUCAUCGACUACUGCAUCAGCAGAAAGAGGUUUUCCAGUAAAUACAAUUGAUACGAUGGAGGAUGUUAGAACCAGUGGACUCCUAGAAAUGCAGCUUGUGUACUUAAAACUUCAGGUGGAGUUCCUGUUAGGUUAUUAGCUGAUACACGGAAAAACUUCAAGUUGCAAAGUAUCCCUAUGGAGCUCGGAAUCCCACCCUCGACAUUUUUGAACAAAAGAUAAAAAUAGGUAAGAGCUGUCAUGUUGCCAAAGGAAGCAGUGUCAUGUUGCCAAAGUAUCCCUAUGUAUUCUACUUAAAUAUUUUCGACUUGGGAUUACAGAAUGUUCAGGAUCCAAUACAAAGUUCAAACUUCAUAUUUCACAGUAUUUAAAACGUAGUUGAAACAAAUUCCAAAGUACAAUUAAACUUCACAGAAAGAGGUCUCAUGCAAGAGUUUUGUGAAUGUUGGAAGAAUGCAUGCAAGUCAUAUCUUGUGUUAAAAUACAUGCAUGAAAUAAACAUGUUGGAUGACUAGUGAAGUUAGGCUAGUCAACAUUCUUUGUGUAAAUUAGGCAAGUUAGGCAAGUUAGGAAAUUAGGCAUGUUAGGCAAGUUAGGCAAGUUAGGCUUAUGUCUACUUUCUUUUCCUAUAUAUAUGUUUCAUUUGUAAUUGUUUCUUCAUGAAAUACACAUCAAAAAUUCUACAUGGUAUCAGAGCAGGUUCAUUUGUAACCUGUCUCUGCCAUUCUUGCUGCUGCAAUUUUUUCUUUCUUUCAAAGUCUAAGUCAUGACUGAAGAAAGUUCUGUGAACCAUGAUGAGGAAACCCGGCACAAUCUCUCUCCAAACUUCUCAGACGUUGAGGUUAACACCAAUCAAUGUUUGUGUUCAGUUCUCUUGAACGAGUUCAAUUAUCUUCCUUGGUCCCGAGCUGUUUCACUAGCUCUUGGAGGCAAAGGGAAGUUAGGGUUUGUAAAUGGAAGCGUGGAAGCUCCAAACAGUUCUUCCUCUACAUACAAUGCAUGGCUCUGCAAAGAUCAACUUGUCAUGUCCUUGCUGCUCAACACCAUGGAGAAACAUGUUGCUGAAAUUUUUAGCUACUCCAAUUCCGCACAUGAUCUUUGGAAAGCUUUGCAGGAUAUGUAUGGAAAUCAAAACAACUAUGCACGGGUCUUCCAAUUAAAGAAGGACAUUGCCAGUGCUCAACAAGAAGGGAAAGCAUUUGUUCAACACCUUGGGAGCCUCAAAGCCAUGUGGAAUGAGUUGGAUGUAUAUCUUCCUCAUACCACAGAUCCUACCAUUCUCCUAAAACGAGCUGAGGAAGACAAAAUUUAUCAGCUGUUAGGGAGUUUGAGCUCUGAGUACGAGGACCUAAGGAGUCACAUCUUGAUGAGUCAAGACCUGCCUACCUUCAACAAUGUUUGUGCAACUAUCCAACGAGAAGAAGCAAGGAAGAAGGUUAUGAAUGUUGAUCACAAUCCUAGAUUAACAGAGACUCGGGCAUAUGCAUCAAAGUACAAGAACUCAGAAGCCAAGGUAUACAAGGGAAGAAACACACAUCUAAAAUGCAAAUAUUGCAAUGGUGUUGGUCAUGAGGAAGACAAGUGUUGGGAACUUCAUCCUGAACUCAAGCCUAAGUUCAGCAAAGAUGGAAGGAUGAUACCAAGGUCCUCACAGCAAUUUCAACCUCAUUUCAAGGCACAACUUGUUAAUGCUCACGCUCCUACUAUCUCACAAGGAUCCAUGGAGUUCACUGCCAAUCCAUUGUCAUUGAUCAAUGAAUUUGCAGCUUACCUACAAAGUAAGGGGCACGGAGGAGGCUCACAUGGUCAAGGCAAUGAAGAGGGUAGUCACACAGCUAUGUUGGGACAAUUUGCCGGAUUUCUUGCUGGAAAUGAGAAAGUUCCAAAGGGAGAAGCAUCAGGUAUACUCAAAGCCUUUACUACUGCCCUAUUAACUAGUACUGAAAUUGAUUGUUGGAUAAUUGAUUCAGGCGCCACAGAUCAUAUGACAAACAAAGUUACAAAUUUACAUCAUUUUAAAAAAUUUUCAAGCCCCUCACAUGUGUCUGUUGCAAAUGGAAAAAAUGUCUUAGUUUUGGGAAAGGGAGAAAUAAACUUACUCUCUCAAAAAACACCUUCCACUGCCCUCUAUGUACCAACCUUUCCCUUUCAACUUUUGUCAAUUGGAAAGAUCACCAACACCCUAAACUGCCGUGCUAUUUUCUCACCAAAUAAAGUAAUGUUUCAGGAUGUUCUCACCAUGAAGAUGAUUGGUGAAGGGGUCUUCAUAAAUGGACUUUACUACUUGUGCAAGAAUGCAUGUUUCACUCAGGCUCUUCAAGCUCAAUCAAAGUCCAUAGAUGAAAACCAACUUUGGCAUAAGAGAUUAGCUCACCCCUCUGAACUUGUCUUGUCGAAACUGUUUCCAAAUUUUUGUAACCCCUAUCCUACUUGUGAUACUUGUCAAUUUUCUAAGUUUACUAGGCUACCUUUUGGUAAUUCAAUGUCUAGGACAAGUAAACCUUUUGAAAUGGUACACACCGAUGUAUGGGGACCUGCAACUGAAUCAAUGGAAGGUUUUAAAUAUUUUGUUCUAUUUGUUGAUGAUUUCUCUCGAACAAGUUUUCUAUAUCUUAUGAAAUCAAAAAGUGAAGUCCCUACCAUUUUCAAAGACUUUCACAUGCAUGUUAAAACGCAAUUUCAAUCAAACAUUAAGGUUUUAAGGUCAGAUAAUGGCACUGAAUUUCUAUCCAACAACAUGCUUCAAUACAUAAGUUCUCAGGGUAUCAUACAUCAAACCAGCUGUGUGGGAACUCCCCAACAAAAUGGAGUAGCCGAAAGGAAAAAUAGAGAUCUCUUGGAAAAAACUCGUGCUCUCAUGAUUCACAUGCACGUUCCAAAGAAAUUUUGGUCGUUUGCCAUCCUUACUGCCACUUAUCUCAUAAAUCGACUUCCAAGUCGUGUGCUAGGGUUUAAAUCUCCAUAUGAAGUUCUCAAGGGGAGGAAAAUAGAUUUGACACAUCUCAAGGUGUUUGGUUGUGUGUGUUUUGUUCACAUCCAAACCUUGAACCGUGACAAACUAGAUGCCAGGGCAAUCAAGUGUGUGUUUAUGGGAUACUCGACCACUCAAAAGGGAUACAAGUGCUUCAAUCCAGUCACUAAGAAGUGCACAGUUUCAAGAGAUGUGAAGUUCGAAGAAGACUAUCCCUAUUUUACAAGUCAGGGGGAGGAUUUAGUUGACAUGUUCCCACUCCCUCAAAACUUUAAUUAUCCGAUGUUGGAAAAGAGAUCAGUCAUUUUAAGUCCAGAUUGUGAAGAAGUUCAAACUGACCAAAUUACUGCCAAUGAGAGUGAAGACGAGCCCUACUCUGAUCCUUCUCCGCCUUCUACAGAGUCUCAGGUGAUUAAAAGAAAUCCUCCUCGAAUCAGAAAACCUCCAGCUAGGUUGCAGGACUAUGUUACAUAUGCCUCACGACAUCCAAUCAAUGAAUGUAUCAGCUUUAGUAAGUUCUCAACAUCUCAUGCUGCAUUUCUCAGUGAAAUUGAUAAGCACUAUGAACCAAGAAGCUUUCAAGAAGCUUCUCUUCUCCCACAAUGGAACCAAGCCAUGAAAGAAGAGAUUCGUGCACUGGAAGAGAAUUGCACCUGGAGCCUAGUUCAACUACCACCAGGAAAAAAGGCUGUUGGAAGUCGUUGGAUUUACAAGACUAAAUUCAAAGCUGAUGGAUCUAUCGAGAGACACAAGGCUAGACUUGUUGCUCGAGGUUUCACCCAAACCUUUGGUGUAGAUUAUAAGGAAACAUUCGCACCGGUGGCCAAGAUGAACUCAGUCAGGGUUUUACUGUCAGUUGCAAUCAAUUGUGGAUGGUCACUCUACCAAAUGGACGUGAAGAAUGCUUUCCUUCACGGCGAGCUGCAGGAAGAAGUGUAUAUGCAACCUCCUCCUCCAGGCUAUGAUGGUAUUAAAGGCAACAUGGUUUGUAAAUUGCACAAGGCAAUAUACGGAUUGAAACAAUCACCAAGAGCUUGGUAUGCCAAGCUUAGUUCUGUUCUGGAAAAGGCUGGAUUCAUGCGAAGUAAUGCUGAUUCUUCGUUAUUUGUAAGAACUGGCACCAGGGGGAAGUUGGUGGUCCUCGUCUAUGUUGAUGAUCUUAUCAUCACUGGAGAUAAUACCGUGGAGAUUGAGGCACUAAAAACUCUCACUACAUCAAGCUUUCGCUAUCAAAGAUUUGGGGAGGUUAAAGUAUUUUUUGGGGAUCGAAAUGGCAACAUCUUCAAAAGGACUGUUUCUACAUCAAAGGAAAUAUGUAUUGGACCUCCUUCAAGAAGCAAAAAUGCUUGACUGCAAGCCUGCUAUCACUCCCGUUGAUUGUAAACUGAAGCUCAGCAUAGAUGGAGAAGCCAUGCAUGAUGUAAGCUACUAUCAACGAUUAGUAGGCAAGCUCAUAUACCUCACUAUCACUCGUCCAGAUAUCACAUAUGCAGUGAGCUUGGCUAGUCAGUUCAUGCACUCUCCCACUGUUGAUCACCUUAACCUUGUUAAGAGAAUCCUUCGUUAUCUUAAGGGUUCAAUUGGGCAAGGAAUUACAAUGCAUAACAAUCAGUCCACUGUCAUUAGUGGCUACACAGAUGCAGACUGGGCAGGUAAUGCAAUUGAUAGGAAAUCAAUCACAGGCUAUUGUACAUUUGUUGGUGGAAACCUUGUCACAUGGAAGAGUAAGAAGCAACAGGUAAUUGCUCGUUCCAGCGCAGAAGCUGAGUAUCGAGCCAUGGCAGCCACUGCGUGUGAACUCAUUUGGCUUAAAGGGCUUCUUUCAGACUUAGGGUUUCCUAGUUCUACUCCUAUGACGCUUAUGUGUGAUAAUCAGGCAGCCAUGCACAUUGCUGCCAAUCCUGUGUUCCAUGAAAGAACCAAACAUAUUGAAGUGGAUUGUCAUUUCAUCCGAGCUCAAGUUCAAACGCAAAUCAUCCGGACCAUGUUCACACGAAGCCAUGAUCAACUAGCAGAUCUUUUUACAAAGGCACUAGCAUCAUCUCAGUUUCAUCGGUUAUUGGGCAAGCUUGGCUCAGUGAAUCCCUUCGAUCCAGCUUGAGGGGGAGUGUUGGAAGAAUGCAUGCAAGUCAUAUCUUGUGUUAAAAUACAUGCAUGAAAUAAACAUGUUGGAUGACUAGUGAAGUUAGGCUAGUCAACAUUCUUUGUGUAAAUUAGGCAAGUUAGGCAAGUUAGGAAAUUAGGCAUGUUAGGCAAGUUAGGCAAGUUAGGCUUAUGUCUACUUUCUUUUCCUAUAUAUAUGUUUCAUUUGUAAUUGUUUCUUCAUGAAAUACACAUCAAAAAUUCUACAGUGAAACACCAAUUAUUUUCUGUAACAAAUUUUUACAUAGUUGAUAAAAUGGGACUUGACGUUACAAUGGUAAGUCCCAAGUGAUCCAUGGCUAGAAGAAGUUUUUCUCCUUCAAACUUUCCACGGUAUCCCUGGUAAGUUGGUGUGAAUCAUUUGUCAUCUGCACAUCUGUGAAGAACACACAGACGUUAAACUUUCAAAUCUGAAGUCCAAAUUAUCUGUCACACAAAUUAGCAACUACGAAGAAUAUGCAAAUCACUCACUGUACAGACCAUUUCACUUGCAGUUUGUACAUCACUCACGGUACCUCAGACCAAGGCAGGGAUUCUUUAUGAAAUACUUAGUUUCUCAAAGGCUAGAACGAUAUAGGCUUGAUAAAGAUAUUGUUCUAUAUUAAUAGGAUCUCAGGCAUGCCAGUUGUAACCCAAAUAUCCUCAGACACGAAUACUACAAAUUAUAUGCAAGAUGGAAUUGCCGAGGGUUCAAUUGGCAAUUUAGCUAGGCCAACCUUAGUAUCCAUAACCGAAAAAAAGAAGGCAACUACUCGGUUCCUCCAAUUGCAAAUAGCAUCGUACUUACAUGCCAAUCACAAUUUCAAUAUUUCACGUGUGCAGAAAUUGUUCUUUUUGUUUUUGUAAUGAGUUAUUUCUGCAUACGUGUCAAAGUAUAAUCUACAGGACCAAGGGAUGACUUCUUCCGGGGAAAGAGCCAAGAAGUGUCCAAAAAAGAGAAUACAAAUUUGACACGAACUGUUUCAACUCUCAUUUAUGCAUAAAGUUGUGGUUAAUAAGCUUAAUCGCUAAAAGCUGGCAAGAAUGUCGAAAACAGUUCAAGGCCUUGCCUUAACUGGACUUCAAGAACUACACUUGAACUCCAGAUGAAGACCUACACCAAAAGAUCUUCUUUCGCUGAACGAAACGAUAUACAAAACACAGAACUAUCAAUCCAACAUCAAAUGAUCUUUAAUUCUUUGCUUCAUUACAAAUGACAAAUUCCAAAUGAUGUAAUCAGAGUCUAAACACUUUAUAGCAUAUCUCAUACAUGAAAGUUAAUGCUCUAAAACUCAAUUCUCUCUCUUUCCUAAACCAUGAAAAGAACAUCCAAAAAGUUUACCAAUUUUUUCAAAAAGCAUACUCUCUGCAAAUGCAAUUUCAUGGAAAAAUCCUACUAAUCACUUUCAUUAGGGUCCAACAAGUCACCCAAACCCCAAUUUCUUUUCUUCAACCUCUCCUCAACGCUCUCCAAACGCCGAAGCAUAGUCUCCGCCAGAAAAUCCUUGCCCCUGCAGUUGUGGAAAAACGAGUGCUUCAGCAGCGUCUCUGCUGCCGGCCUCUUCGUAGGGUCCUGAUCAAGGCAAGAACCCAUCAAGUCCAGAAAAGCCACAGAGUACUUCUUGGUCUUGAAAUCUUUGAUGAUGUUUUCGCAAUCUGAAAACUGGUACCUCUUCUUGACCUUCAGAAUCUCAGACUCCAAAAACAGCGACAGACGAGACAUAGGAGAGCCACCGUCAGCCAAAUCGAUCGCCGUCCUCCCAAAUGCCAAGAUAUCCGCCUUGCAUCCACCUCCAUUGGGCGCCACCCUAUAAGGCGUUGCCGAAGUGUAGUUUGUCCCAGUUGAAUGAUCGGCGCCGUAGAAAGAAGCAGAGACCCCGAAAUCGGCGAGCUUAACGGACCCAUCAGAGUCGACCAAGAUGUUUUCGGGCUUGAUGUCGCCGUGGACGUGUCCCUGGCCAUGGAGAUACGACAUGGCGUUUAGCGUCUCUUUCAGGACGACAGCAAUGCAGGGCUCUGGUAAUCCUUCCGGGAAAGCAGAGGAGGAGAUUAUGGACUGCAGAGAGCCGAAGGCCAUGAACGGCAUGACCACCCAGAGACGGCGGUCAGCGGUGGUGAAGGCGCAAUGGUAGCUGAGAAUGUUGGGGUGGGAAAGAGAAAAAGUCUUGGUGCCGCGUAGCUUGCCCUCGAAAUCGGCCGUGGAUUGAUUGAGGUCGACGGACUUGAUUGCGACGAUUGCAGAGUUCCUGGAAACGCAGAUGGCCUUGUAGACGACGGCCUUGCCGCCGAAGCCAAUUUUUUCGAGGUUUUUGUACGCGGCGGAGUCUAUCGGGAAUUGAACCUUUUGUGGGUUAUCAUGGUGGGAGGAGGAAGACGAAGAAGUCGCCAUUGGAGACGACAAAGAUGAAAUCUUGAAGAAUGGAGAAGAUGAAUGUAGGGAUUCUGCAGUACUAAUUCUAGUGAAAGGUUGAUGCUUUGGGAGGAAGACGACGAUGCAUGAGAAUGUGCGAGUGUGUACUGCUCUGCUUGUAUUUACUUAUAGAAUAAGAAAUGGUAAGAAGAUGAGGGUUUUUUGGGGAUUUUCUAUUCCGAAUGGGGGAUAAAAUUAUAGAUAAGUUUUAAUUUUUUGCCCCUUGAUUUGGUUAAUUAGCAGAAUCAUCAACAUUCUGUUGUGAGGCGGUUUUGGUAAGCAGGAUUGGGUGAGGUUGGUUAAGAUAAAAUACAGUAAGUUCGUUUUCUGUUAUUUGCCAUCUCAGCAAUGUCUUGGGACGCAAGGCAUUGUUACUCCUGUUGUGAGUACCUCGUAUAAAUAUUUCGAAAGGACUAUAAGCACACGAACAAAAUACGUAUUUGAGACCCGUAAGUUCAUGAACAAGACUGAUCCACUAACCUAUUAAAAUCAUUCUUCAAGAUGUCAUUAAAAGUCAAGUAAGCCUUAAAAAAAAAAAAACAGGUGAUUUUUUUUUUUUUUUGCUAAUGUAACCAAAUUGUGUAAAAAAAUAUGACGUGAUCGUUGAUAAUUGAACUAAAUAAACCAAAACGCUAGAACUUCCUCUGGACCAAAGAUGACAUUUUAUUCCACAAGCUCACUUAUGAGCAGAUUGGCAUGAGAGAAUAUACAAACUCUGUGCAACAAGAUUCUUAAGCUGGCCCAACCAUUCCAUCAACUUUCCAGGUAAUUGAUUGUUCCCCAAAUGAAGAAGAGAAGGUGUAUAAAUUAAACAAAGAACUGUAAGGACUCAAGCAAGCCCCCCGAGUUUGGUACAGUGAGAUUGACUCUUACUUCAGCAAUAGUGGAUUCAACAAAAGUCCUAGUGAAGCUGCACUCUACACAAAGUUUCCGUCCUUUCAAGGGUAAUUUUCUUAGAUGGGCCCAAUCUCAAAGUUUCCGUCAUAUCGAGCUAAAAAUAUAGGUAACGGGUUAAGAUGUGUGGUUUUCCAUGAGAACGAUGAUCAGUUGGGAAGAUGCAUCAACUGGUAAUCAUACUACAGCGUAUCAAAAGAGUAAACUAGAGGUGUAUUUGCCUGGUUUGGACCUAGUGUUCUUAAGCUCUGAGAAAAAUGAAUUUGAUUGAAAAUUCACAAUUUUUGUGAGUUGAAGGUCCUGAACUACAUCUAGCUUAUAUAGUCAAAGAAAUCUGCUGUGUCCUUCCUUAUAGGGAGUGACUAAGGGCAAUUUGAACAUUUAGCUAGGACCAGCUCUGUGCCAUCGCCGGAAGUUCAUACGAAUUGACUGUGCGUUCGUACGAAGGCAUGUCGCAUAGGCACUUGUGCCUGACGUCUGCAGCCGCAGACACAUUGAAGAACGACGAUAUUGGGGAAAGAAAUCUUAAUUUCAAGAUAUAUCAAGAGUGCCCUAAUUAGGAUUUCUUUGAAGAGUAAAGACAAUUUCAACUUGAACUAUUUCAUUUAGAGAUAUUGGGCAACAUUAUUAAUUACACAUGAGCCACAUAUCAAAGAUCUUAAGCAACUCCUGAGCAUUUUCGUAGACAAUUCUGAGGCUCUCUGCAGAUUACAUUUAAAUUAUUUAACAGGAAAAAUCUAUUGGCCCUCUUUGGAAUAUUUAAGCAUAAAACAAACUUCAUUUCCCACUUAUUCGCCUCGUGCACUAAAUUAACAAAUUGCUGCAGGUUGCAGAAUUCAAAACUUGAGGAAGCCCUUCUCCUUGAGGCUUUCAACAGUGUCCUUGAGACUCGUUUCCAGAGGAAGGAAAGUGAUUCCCAAACCUUUUGCUUUCUCCCUGGACACUUGAAACUUUGUGUCAGAAGGAUUGCCAAGCUCAGGAAGGCUCAAUGUGGGGUAAAGCUCUCGUAAAAUCUUUAGAGUAUCGGUACGGUCAGCAACGUGGGCAACUAAACAAUAUCUGCCGCUCGCUGAAGGAACUUCAAAUGCUUGAAUAUGAGCAGAGGCAACAUCUCUAACGUCCACAAAUGUGUAGUUUACAAACGGUAUUUCAAUCCCUGAGCACAAAAGAGAAACUUAACAGAAUCAACUGCUUGCAUCACAAGGAAUAGUGUUUUAACAAAAGGGGCUGAAUUGUACCACUAAUUAUAUUCAGAAGAAACUCGAUGGAGACAUUAAGAGUUGGCUGUAAGGGUGGACCAAUCACAAACCCUGGAUGUAUCGAUACCAAUUCAAUCCCAUUUCCUUUGGCAAAUUUCCAGGCGGCCUCCUCAGCUAAAAUUUUUGAGAGAGGAUACCAUUGCUGAACAGAUGAAGAAGGAAGUUCUUAUGAGUUUGUAGUUCUUCAUCAUGUACUGCUUUGUCUUGUGUGAAGCUUACAUCUAUGUCCAAAAUUAUUCAAUAGUAUGGGAACGCACGUACCUUUGUCUUCUCACAAAAAAGUGGAUCCGAAUAGCAUGUUUCGUCGAAAACCACAUCAGAGGUCAGAGGUUUUCCACUCAUCCUUACUGAAGCCACAGAAGAUGUUAAAACCACUCUCUUGACAGCGGGGAAUUUCGCACAUGAUUUUAGAACAUUAAGUGUUCCUUUCACUGCAGGCUCAAUUAUUUCUGCCUGAAAUAUAAAGAAAAGAAAUAUAUCAUUCUGGGUUCUACAUCAUUUGUCUUGAAAGUAGGUUAAUUUUCUAUGCAUUCGUGAACGCGCACACACGCUAGAAUAUUUGAUGCAUGGAUGAAGUGAUGGGACAGACCUGUGGGUCAGUGGCUGAAAUUUGUGCAGGCGAUGCCGUAUGAAAAACACCUACACAUCCAUCAACUACAGCGUCAAAUGAUCCUUCUUCUAAUAAAUCCGCUUUGAACAAAUGAAGCCUCUCCUUUGCUCCAUCCAAUGAAAGCAAGUGUUCCGUUUUCUUUGCAUCAUCUGUAAACAAAACUAGUGAGUUGAACUAAGAAUACAGGAAGCAGCAAAAGUGGCAAACGAUGACUAACUAAAGGUAAGGUUUCAAUUGGCAACGGAAAACAAGAACAAGAAUAAUAAAAAGAAAAUAAUUGGAUGCACGGGAGAUGUCGUUGGUACUCAAAAUAGUCAUCCUGCACGCCAGUGACGCCACCCAAAUGAAAAAAAAAAAAAUAAGAAGGCAAGGUGUACAUGAUGAUUAUUUUGGAUACCAACUUUUCCUUUGGUGAACAAACAAAACAAUAUGCAAAACCCAGAAAUUGAAUGUUGAGAAUCAAUGUCAAGCCCAAAACCAUAAGUAAUCCACAACCCAAUCUAAAGUCCAAGUCCAUAUCUAGAUUGAUGAUGUAAGUGCUUACAAUUGCAAAGUUAGGCAAUGUUAGGUAUGUGUGAAACAAAUAAUUAGGUGCAAUUAAUGUGUUUUGUGUGGUAGUAAAUAAUCUUAGUUUAAUUAAGUAGCUUUCAUUUGGUUUGCUAUAAAUACCCAAGUCCCCAAGCCUUGUAAAUCAUCCAAGGAAAAACAAAGCCUAGAGCUAAAUAAGAAAAGCUUUGCUAAUUAGUUUGUUUUGUGAGCUUUCUUUAAGAGUGUGCUCUAUUUUUCUUCUUCUUGGGAUCAUUAGAGUUAUCUUGGAUACUCUUCUUAUUCAACAAUUGGUAUCAAAGCCAAGUCGGUCAGGGAUCGUUCUUGGUAGAGCAUUGGUUGUAAAGUCUCUUGAAAUUCCGAGUAUGCUCUGUGGUUGCAGUUUUGACUGAUCUUCCACAUCAGAAAAGAUUUCUUGAGAUUAUUGCUGGGGUUAUCACAAACCUUGAGAGGGAGCUUCUUUGUGUCGAGAGUAGUGUAUUACUCUGCACGGUAGUCACUCAAGCUUG